GAUGAACGCUGGCGGCGUGCCUAAUACAUGCAAGUCGAGCGAACGGACGAGAAGCUUGCUUCUCUGAUGUUAGCGGCGGACGGGUGAGUAACACGUGGAUAACCUACCUAUAAGACUGGGAUAACUUCGGGAAACCGGAGCUAAUACCGGAUAAUAUUUUGAACCGCAUGGUUCAAAAGUAAAAGACGGUCUUGCUGUCACUUAUAGAUGGAUCCGCGCUGCAUUAGCUAGUUGGUAAGGUGACGGCUUACCAAGGCAACGAUGCAUAGCCGACCUGAGAGGGUGAUCGGCCACACUGGAACUGAGACACGGUCCAGACUCCUACGGGAGGCAGCAGUAGGGAAUCUUCCGCAAUGGGCGAAAGCCUGACGGAGCAACGCCGCGUGAGUGAUGAAGGUCUUCGGAUCGUAAAACUCUGUUAUUAGGGAAGAACAUAUGUGUAAGUAACCGUGCACAUCUUGACGGUACCUAAUCAGAAAGCCACGGCUAACUACGUG
rnacentral:rRNA from 1 species